UUUCGCGGGGUGUCGUACCUAACCCUAAAUGAGGAUGACCUCCUGUGCCCAACGUUUGCUGUUUUCUCCUCUGUGUGUGGCUUUCAGUGAACCACAGGAGGUUUUUGUGGCGCUGGGAACGUUUACCAAACAAAAAAAGCCAAGAGCGUCACUCCGUCAUGUUCAGUUUCCCGACAGAAACACCGUGAGUGUGGUCAGCCCGGCUGCCGCGAAGAGUUGGUCUCUGCUGCUCCGGUGUCUUCAUGGCGGGAGUCUCGGCAACUGAGCAGAUAAAAACUGAGCAGGGCGACUCUACCUGGUCUCCAGUGGCCCGGUUAGGAAGCCCAAGCUCAAACACAC
ensembl:misc_RNA Telomerase-vert Vertebrate telomerase RNA